GUGGCCAACUACCCUACGGACCGGAAUAACCUCGGGAAACUGAGGCUAAUUCCGGAUACAGCUUCCACGCUGGAAUGCGGGGAGCUGGAAACGCGCACGCGCCGUAGGAUGUGGCUGCGGCCGAUUAGGUAGACGGUGGGGUAACGGCCCACCGUGCCAGUAAUCGGUACGGGUGAUGAGAGUCAGAGCCCGGAGACGGUAUCUGAGACAAGAUACCGGGCCCUACGGGGCGCAGCAGGCGCGAAACCUUUACACUGCACGACAGUGCGAUAAGGGGACUCCGAGUGCGAGGGCAUACAGUCCUCGCUUUUCUGUACCGUAAGGUGGUACAGGAACAAGGGCUGGGCAAGACCGGUGCCAGCCGCCGCGGUAAUACCGGCAGCCCGAGUGAUGGCCGAUAUUAUUGGGCCUAAAGCGUCCGUAGCUGGCCGGACAAGUCCGUUGGGAAAUCCACCCGCCUAACGGGUGGGCGUCCAGCGGAAACUGUCCGGCUUGGGACCGGACGACCCGAGGGGUACGUCCGGNGUAGGAGUGAAAUCCCGUAAUCCUGGACGGACCGCCGGUGGCGAAAGCGCCUCGGGAGGACGGAUCCGACAGUGAGGGACGAAAGCCAGGGUCUCGAACCGGAUUAGAUACCCGGGUAGUCCUGGCCGUAAACGAUGCUCGCUA
rnacentral:rRNA from 1 species